rnacentral:ncRNA from 1 species
AUUACCGGACUCGCAAAACCCAACCGUUUGUUCGGAAGGUGAGCCUGUCUGGGUCGGGGCGCUCUGUAAACCGCCCAUCCUCAUCCCGCGAAAUCGCUUCGCGUGGAGUGCUUACGACGUAGGCUGAGGGAAUUACAAAAGCCACGGGUCACCUGACCCGUGGUUGUUUACCUGCCGUUUGGAAUGUGGUUG